rnacentral:rRNA from 1 species
CCAUUAAAGUGGUACGCGAGCUGGGUUAGAACGUCGUGAGACAGUUCGGUCCCUAUCUGGCCGUGGGCGGCUGGAGAACUGAGGGGGGCUGCUCCUAGUACGAGAGGACCGGAGUGGACGCAUCACUGGUGUUCGGGUUGUCAUGCCAAUGGCACUGCCCGGUAGCUAAAUGCGGAAGAGAUAAGUGCUGAAAGCAUCUAAGCACGAAACUUGCCCCGAGAUGAGUUCUCCCUGAGACUUUAGGUCUCCUGAAGGAACGUUGAAGACGACGACGUUGAUAGGCCGGGUGUGUAAGCGCAGCGAUGCGUUGAGCUAACCGGUACUAAUGAACCGUGAGGCUUAACCUUAC